UUAUAUCAAAUAAUAAUUGAAUUUUAAAUUAAAUUAUUAUUAAAGUGGUGUAGAAUGCUUUUAAUAAGAGAGAGAAAAAGUGAAAAGAAUGUAAGAUAAGAUGUCAGAAGGUCAAAAAUGGAAUUUUUGGAGGUGCAGGAUGAAGUGUUGGAGGUGUAGGAUGAAACACUCAUGAUGGAGCCGCGUCGUUUUCUUCGCUCGUCAUGAACAAGCCUCUUUCGUUCUCAUGGACAGGCCCAAUCUGAGGAGGACCCAAAUAGGGAACAAUUAGGCACAAUCUGGGCUGGGAAGGUCCAAUAAGGCAGAUUCAAAUUUGAGAAUAAAUUUUCUUUUAUAACCGGAUAUGAAUCAUAUCAGUUUUUGGACUUAAUAUUUAUUUUUUGGGGUUACUCUCAACACCUCCCCAACUUCUUCCUCCACCCCUUCAAUUCCAUAAUUGCCCCUAAGUGAAAACGUAAUUACCAUGGUUAAAAGAUACAUGAAAAGCUUGAAACGGAUUUCUUCAUCGGAUGACAUGGGGUUGAUCCUUGUACCUCCACAUUUUUGGCUUUCUACCUCCCCAUUUUUUUAAAUUUUUUUUAAUUUUUUUUAAUUUUUGUUAUAUUACAAAUAUAACCUUUUUUGUACUUUCUAAUUUACUUUUUUAACCCUCUCUUAUUUACCUAACCCUAGAUUUACUUUCCCAUUUGACUCCCUCCCUCACAUAACACAGAACCCCCAACUCCCAUUUUCAAUUUCACUGAGGCUAACACAGCACCCCCACCUGUUUCCCUUUACUCGUUUUCAUUUUUUUAAACUCUGACUCCCAACUCCAGUCCUCUGUUCAUCUGUGUAUUUCGUGGUGGUGCGACCUGGGUGUGCGGCGGUGCGGCGGUGGGGGUGCUUCGUUUCUGCCGGUUGGUCUUCGAGAGGUUAGUUUUUCGUCUCUUCGUCCGAUUGAUAGAGAAGUUUUGUUCGUUUCGGUUUCUUCUUGGCGUAUAUAUGUUGUUGUUUUUGCUAGAGCUUAUUUUUUCGUUUCGUUUCUUAAGUGUUGUCAUUUCUGUUUGUUUCUUU
rnacentral:lncRNA from 1 species